CCCCUUUUCAUUGCCACCCAAGGUCCCUAUAUUAAGCGUGCCGGCAACGGCUAUGGCGAUAAACUGCCAUCGUAAUAAACCCAUCGGACCCGGGGGCAGUACCCGGCGCCUCCACCAAAACCUCCUCUGUUUUCAGAGGCUUACGGGGGCGAAACAGGAUCGACGAGGGCGUAAAGGGUGUGUUUUCGCUCGGCAUUGUACCACCGUCAUCGGGCUAAUUUUAUAGUUGCAAACGACAACUAUGCUGAGGCACGUCUCGCUGCGUAAGCAGUGCGAUACCUCGAAUUAAAGCCCUGAUUCUGUAGCAGGAAUCAGGCGGGGUCCGCAGGCACCUGGCAACAGAAGCCUGCAUU
rnacentral:tmRNA from 1 species